UCGAGUUGAUCCUGCUCGAGGUCACUGCUAUUGGGGUCUGAUUAAGACAUGCACGUCUCGGAUACGAUUAAGGUCCGGGCAACUAGCUCAGUAACACGUGGAUAAUCUAGCUUAAGGAGAUGGAUAACCUCGGGAAACUGAGGACAAAACGACAUAGGAGGCGAGUACUGGAAUGUCCGCCUCUGAAAUAUGAAAGCCUGUAUUCGGCUUAAUGCCUUAAGAUGAGUCUGCGGCGGAUUAGCCUGACGGUAGGGUAAUGGCCUACCGUAGCUAUGAUCCGUACCGGCCAUGGGAGUGGGAGCCGGGAGAUGGACACUGAGACAAUGGUCCAGGCUCUACGGAGUGCAGCAGUCGCGAAACCUUUGCAAUGUACGUAAGUAUGACAAGGGGACCCCAAGUGCGCAUGUACAGCAUGCGCUUUUGUGGAGUGUAAAAAGCUCCAAGAAUAAGGGCUGGGUAGGACUGGUGCCAGCCUCCGCGGUAACACCAGCAGCUCAAGUGGUGAUCGCGUUUACUGGGUUUAAAGCGUACGUAGUCUUUCAGUCAGUUUUCUGUGAAAUCCCACAGCUCAACUGUGGGAAUUGCAGAGAAUACUGCUGGACUCGAGACCGGGGCAGGCGUGGGGUAUUCUGGGGGUAGCGGUGAAAUGCUAUAAUUCCCGGAGGACCACCAGUAGCGAAGGCGCCACGCUGGAACGGGUCUGACGAUGAGGUACGAGAGCUAGGGGAGCGAACAGGAUUAGAUACCCUGGUAGUCCUAGCCGUAAACGAUGCAGGUUUAGUGUUCCCUGAAUCUCGUGUUCAGGGAGUGCUGAAGGGAAACCGUUAAACCUGCCACCUGGGGAGUACGGUCGCAAGGCUGAAACUUAAAGGAAUUGGCGGGGGAACACCACAAGGGGUGGAUGCUGCGGUUCAAUUGGAUACAACGCCGGGAAACUUACCAGGUGCGACGGCAUAAUGAAGGCCAGGCUGAAGGUCUUGCCUGAAGAGCCGAGAGGUAGUGCAUGGCCGUCGUCAGCUCGUACCGUGAGGCGUACGGUUAAGUCCGUUAACGAGCGAGACCCGUGCCAUUAUUUGCAACCUUCGAGGAUACUUGGGGGGCACUAUAGUGGGACUGCAUGCGAUGAGUGUGAGGAAGGCGCGGGCAACGGUAGGUCAGUAUGCUCCGAAUCACCUGGGCUACACGCGGCAUACAAUGGCAGGUACAAUGGGUUGCAAUACCGAGAGGUAGAGCUAAUCCCCUAAAACCUGUCCCAGUACGGAUUGAGGGUUGAAACCCACCCUCAUGAAGGUGAAAUCCCUAGUAAUCGCUUUUGACCAUAAAGCGGUGAAUAUGUCCCUGUUCCUUGCACACACCGCCCGUCAAACCAAUCGAGUGGAUUUGAGAUGAGGCGUUCUCUUUUUAGGGCGUGUCGAAUCUCGGGUUUGCGAGAGGGGUUAAGUCGUAACAAGGUA
rnacentral:rRNA from 1 species